UACAGAGGGUGCGAGCGUUAAUCGGAAUUACUGGGCGUAAAGCGUGCGCAGGCGGCGCGUUAAGACAGGUGUGAAAGCCCCGAGCUUAACUUGGGAAUUGCGCUUGUGACUGGCGAGCUGGAGUGUGGCAGAGGGAGGUGGAAUUCCACGUGUAGCAGUGAAAUGCGUAGAUAUCUGGAGGAAUACCGGUGGCGAAGGCGGCAUCCUGGACCGAGAUUGACACUGAUGAGCGAAAGCUAGGGGAGCAAACGGG
rnacentral:rRNA from 1 species